rnacentral:rRNA from 1 species
UACGUAGGGUGCAAGCGUUGUCCGGAAUUAUUGGGCGUAAAGAGCUCGUAGGCGGCUUGUCGCGUCGACUGUGAAAACCUGGGGCUUAACUCCGGGCCUGCAGUCGAUACGGGCAAGCUAGAGUUCGGUAGGGGAGACGUGGAAUUCCUGGUGUAGCGGUGAAAUGCGCAGAUAUCAGGAGGAACACCGGUGGCGAAGGCGGGUCUCUGGGCCGAUACUGACGCUGAGGAGCGAAAGCGUGGGGAGCGAACAGG